ACGAUGCACGCACCCACUGACCUGCGCCCACUGUCUGGCACUCCCUAGUGAGAUGAACCUGGUACCUCAGAUGGAAAUGCAGAAAUCACCCGUCUUCUGCGUUGCUCACGCUGGGAGCUGUAGACCAGAGCUGUUCCUAUUCGGCCUUCUUGGCUCCUUCCCUGGGCUCUUUUAUAUUGCUGGCAAAAUAGUGACUCCCCGUGGAACAGAGUUGUUGUUCAGCAGAAAUAAUCAAGAGUUGACAUCAUACCAGACCUCGGGACUCAACAAUAAACCAGACCAGUAUGGCUCUAUCUUCAUGAAGAACAUACACAAUAAUUCAGGACUCACAGAAGUCGAUGAGCAGAACACAGAAGACUCAACCUGAAGAAAUUCCAUAUACGUGCUACUCCUGUGUUAGUGUUUUAAAUAAUUUAUAUAAAAGGGCAGAAACCUAGAAAUUCAUAUCAGAAUCUAUCUAUAUAUCACCUGUAGUUUUUAAAUAUAAUCAUGGGUAUGUUUUAUGUGUAUAUUAUUAUUUUGUAUUAUAGUUUUAGCCAUCAAACUUUUAAAGAAUUUAACUUACAAUU
rnacentral:lncRNA from 1 species